UGGGGAAUAUUGCACAAUGGGCGCAAGCCUGAUGCUGCCAUGCCGCGUGUAUGAAGAAGGCCUUCGGGUUGUAAAGUACUUUCAGCGGGGAGGAAGGGAGUAAAGUUAAUACCUUUGCUCAUUGACGUUACCCGCAGAAGAAGCACCGGCUAACUCCGUGCCAGCAGCCGCGGUAAUACGGAGGGUGCAAGCGUUAAUCGGAAUUACUGGGCGUAAAGCGCACGCAGGCGGUUUGUUAAGUCAGAUGUGAAAUCCUCGGGCUCAACCUGGGAACUGCAUCUGAUACUGGCAAGCUUGAGUCUCGUAGAGGGGGGUAGAAUUCCAGGUGUAGCGGUGAAAUGCGUAGAGAUCUGGAGGAAUACCGGUGGCGAAGGCGGCCCCCUGGACGAAGACUGACGCUCAGGUGCGAAAGCGUGGGGAGCAAACAGG
rnacentral:rRNA from 1 species